GGACAGGUGGUGGCAUGGUUGUCGUCAGCUCGUGUCGUGAGAUGUUGGUUAAGUCCGCAACGAGCGCAACCCCUACUUGUUAGUUGCCAUCAUUCAGUUGGGCACUCUAGCGAGACUGCCGGUAAUAAACCGGAGGAAGGUGGGGAUGACGUCAAAUCAUCAUGCCCCUUAUGACCUGGGCUACACACGUGCUACAAUGGUUGGUACAACGAGUUGCGAGUCGGUGACGGCGAGCUAAUCUCUUAAAGCCAAUCUCAGUUCGGAUUGUAGGCUGCAACUCGCCUACAUGAAGUCGGAAUCGCUAGUAAUCGCGGAUCAGCACGCCGCGGUCGAAUACGUUCCCGGGCCUU
rnacentral:rRNA from 1 species